GACGAACGCUGGCGGCGUGCUUAACACAUGCAAGUCGAGCGGUAAGGCUCCUUCGGGAGUACACGAGCGGCGAACGGGUGAGUAACACGUGAGCAAUCUGCCCUUCACUUUGGGAUAACUCCGGGAAACCGGUGCUAAUACCGAAUGCGACCACUUCAGGCAUCUGACGGUGGUGGAAAGUUCCGGCGGUGAAGGAUGAGCUCGCGGCCUAUCAGCUUGUUGGUGAGGUAAUGGCUCACCAAGGCUUCGACGGGUAGCCGGCCUGAGAGGGUGACCGGCCACACUGGGACUGAGACACGGCCCAGACUCCUACGGGAGGCAGCAGUGGGGAAUAUUGGACAAUGGGCGAAAGCCUGAUCCAGCAACGCCGCGUGAGGGAUGACGGCCUUCGGUUGUUAACGUACUUCUAGCAGGACGAAGACGAAAGUAGACGGUACCGUCGCAAAGAAGACGACCGGCCGAACCUAACGUACGCCACGCACGCCGCGGUAAACGUACACGUCG
rnacentral:rRNA from 1 species